CUUGGUGUCUCCCCACCUGCAACUCCCUUGGACCUUCACUUUCAUCCCUUCAUUCUUUGUUUCAUUCGACUAAUAAAAACCUAUUUCCUUCUCUCAACAGAGAUACUGGAGCGCAGCCCAUGAGUUGGGAGUGGAGGAAAGGAAAAGCUGCAGCUUGGCUUCUUCUCUCUGACCACUAGCCAGCUCCAUAUCUCAGGAUGGAUCCAGCAGGAACAUGGGAGCUGACAUGCAAGAAGCCCCAGUGCUCUGCCAAGGCCACACAGGUUACUGUUCCUCUGGGGAGAGAUGGGGAGGAGAGGUCCGUGCAUGGCUAUUAGGCAGCUCUUCUGUGACAUGA
rnacentral:lncRNA from 1 species